rfam:Oreochromis niloticus linkage group LG20, whole genome shotgun sequence.
GGCAGAUAUGGAGACAUGGUUCCAAACACCAUCGCGGGGAAGAUCUUUGGAUCAAUCUGCUCUCUGAGCGGCGUCCUGGUGAUCGCCCUGCCUGUACCUGUCAUCGUGUCCAAC